GCAAGGGCCCCUGAAGGCUGAGGGUGGAGGCCAUUUCCGGCCAGCUACAAGACUACACAGGUCUUCCUCCUGGGUUCUACUCUUAAGAGUCAACAGUGGACGUCUGGCUGCCAUUCCAACUGCAGUAGGCUUCCUGCAGCGGCUGGUGAGCCAAACGGGGAGUAGUGAGUCCACAGGGGCAGACGCCGGGGAAGCGCGCUCAUUGGAGAGGUCAGCAGUGUGUCCAGCUCAAUGGCCUAGCCUCGCCAGGCUGAGCCGCGGACCUUCCCGGCUUCCGUUCGUUUCUGUCCGCUUCCGGCCGCCUCAGGUGCAGCGCGGAUCCCUCCGCCGCAGCGGGCAGUCCCGGUAGCGCCGCGAGCAGCUUUUCGGUGAUACCCGGAUGGAAGGGUAAUGGCCGCCAUCAGGGACUCGCAAGCCAUGGGGACCACGACAGAUAUCUCUUCUUUUGAUCACUGUUCCUGUGUGUGAGACGUUGUCCAAGCAUUGAAUUGUGUGCCUUUUAUUCCUUGAAGAGUUGGUGCUAGCAUCUCUCUGCUCUGUCCGACCUCUGGAUCCAGUUCAAAGCUGUGGAAUUGUUCUCUUUCUCCCCAUACCUCAGCCUGAGCCUUCUGUCAUCCAAAGCCUCUGCCUGGUCCCUCCACUCGAUCCUCAUUCAUCUGUUAAGAUGAGGAAACUGAAGAGAAGUUGAAGCUGUCCCAAUGUAGUUUUGAAGAGCUGGACCUAGAGUUUGCUUUUUUUUUUUACUUCCAGAUUAGUGUUAUUUUAUUCACACUCUUACUUCUUGGUAAGCUGUUCUUAAAAUACUUUGCAAUUCUUUUGUUUCUUUACAUGUUUGAAUGACAUUCCUACAUUGUGCCAGAAUAAACAUAAAGAUGGGAAU